CGGGACACGUGGUAUCCUGUCUGAAUAUGGGGGGACCAUCCUCCAAGGCUAAAUACUCCUGACUGACCGAUAGUGAACCAGUACCGUGAGGGAAAGGCGAAAAGAACCCCGGCGAGGGGAGUGAAAAAGAACCUGAAACCGUGUACGUACAAGCAGUGGGAGCACGCUUAGGCGUGUGACUGCGUACCUUUUGUAUAAUGGGUCAGCGACUUAUAUUCUGUAGCAAGGUUAACCGAAUAGGGGAGCCGAAGGGAAACCGAGUCUUAACUGGGCGUUAAGUUGCAGGGUAUAGACCCGAAACCCGGUGAUCUAGCCAUGGGCAGGUUGAAGGUUGGGUAACACUAACUGGAGGACCGAACCGACUAAUGUUGAAAAAUUAGCGGAUGACUUGUGGCUGGGGGUGAAAGGCCAAUCAAACCGGGAGAUAGCUGGUUCUCCCCGAAAGCUAUUUAGGUAGCGCCUCGUGAAUUCAUCUCCGGGGGUAGAGCACUGUUUCGGCAAGGGGGUCAUCCCGACUUACCAACCCGAUGCAAACUGCGAAUACCGGAGAAUGUUAUCACGGGAGACACACGGCGGGUGCUAACGUCCGUCGUGAAGAGGGAAACAACCCAGACCGCCAGCUAAGGUCCCAAAGUCAUGGUUAAGUGGGAAACGAUGUGGGAAGGCCCAGACAGCCAGGAUGUUGGCUUAGAAGCAGCCAUCAUUUAAAGAAAGCGUAAUAGCUCACUGGUCGAGUCGGCCUGCGCGGAAGAUGUAACGGGGCUAAACCAUGCACCGAAGCUGCGGCAGCGACGCUGAUGCGUUGUUGGGUAGGGGAGCGUUCUGUAAGCCUGUGAAGGUGUGCUGUGAGGCAUGCUGGAGGUAUCAGAAGUGCGAAUGCUGACAUAAGUAACGAUAAAGCGGGUGAAAAGCCCGCUCGCCGGAAGACCAAGGGUUCCUGUCCAACGUUAAUCGGGGCAGGGUGAGUCGACCCCUAAGGCGAGGCCGAAAGGCGUAGUCGAUGGGAAACAGGUUAAUAUUCCUGUACUUGGUGUUACUGCGAAGGGGGGACGGAGAAGGCUAUGUUGGCCGGGCGACGGUUGUCCCGGUUUAAGCGUGUAGGCUGGUUUUCCAGGCAAAUCCGGAAAAUCAAGGCUGAGGCGUGAUGACGAGGCACUACGGUGCUGAAGCAACAAAUGCCCUGCUUCCAGGAAAAGCCUCUAAGCAUCAGGUAACAUCAAAUCGUACCCCAAACCGACACAGGUGGUCAGGUAGAGAAUACCAAGGCGCUUGAGAGAACUCGGGUGAAGGAACUAGGCAAAAUGGUGCCGUAACUUCGGGAGAAGGCACGCUGAUAUGUAGGUGAAGCGACUUGCUCGUGGAGCUGAAAUCAGUCGAAGAUACCAGCUGGCUGCAACUGUUUAUUAAAAACACAGCACUGUGCAAACACGAAAGUGGACGUAUACGGUGUGACGCCUGCCCGGUGCCGGAAGGUUAAUUGAUGGGGUCAGCGCAAGCGAAGCUCUUGAUCGAAGCCCCGGUAAACGGCGGCCGUAACUAUAACGGUCCUAAGGUAGCGAAAUUCCUUGUCGGGUAAGUUCCGACCUGCACGAAUGGCGUAAUGAUGGCCAGGCUGUCUCCACCCGAGACUCAGUGAAAUUGAACUCGCUGUGAAGAUGCAGUGUACCCGCGGCAAGACGGAAAGACCCCGUGAACCUUUACUAUAGCUUGACACUGAACAUUGAGCCUUGAUGUGUAGGAUAGGUGGGAGGCUUUGAAGUGUGGACGCCAGUCUGCAUGGAGCCGGCCUUGAAAUACCACCCUUUAAUGUUUGAUGUUCUAACGUUGACCCGUGAUCCGGGUUGCGGACAGUGUCUGGUGGGUAGUUUGACUGGGGCGGUCUCCUCCUAAAGAGUAACGGAGGAGCACGAAGGUUGGCUAAUCCUGGUCGGACAUCAGGAGGUUAGUGCAAUGGCAUAAGCCAGCUUGACUGCGAGCGUGACGGCGCGAGCAGGUGCGAAAGCAGGUCAUAGUGAUCCGGUGGUUCUGAAUGGAAGGGCCAUCGCUCAACGGAUAAAAGGUACUCCGGGGAUAACAGGCUGAUACCGCCCAAGAGUUCAUAUCGACGGCGGUGUUUGGCACCUCGAUGUCGGCUCAUCACAUCCUGGGGCUGAAGUAGGUCCCAAGGGUAUGGCUGUUCGCCAUUUAAAGUGGUACGCGAGCUGGGUUUAGAACGUCGUGAGACAGUUCGGUCCCUAUCUGCCGUGGGCGCUGGAGAACUGAGGGGGGCUGCUCCUAGUACGAGAGGA
rnacentral:rRNA from 1 species